GAGUGGCGAACGGGUGAGUAACACGUGGGUAACCUGCCCAGAAGCAGGGGAUAACACCUGGAAACAGAUGCUAAUACCGUAUAACAGAGAAAACCGCAUGGUUUUCUUUUAAAAGAUGGCUCUGCUAUCACUUCUGGAUGGACCCGCGGCGUAUUAGCUAGUUGGUGAGGCAAAGGCUCACCAAGGCAGUGAUACGUAGCCGACCUGAGAGGGUAAUCGGCCACAUUGGGACUGAGACACGGCCCAGACUCCUACGGGAGGCAGCAGUAGGGAAUCUUCCACAAUGGACGCAAGUCUGAUGGAGCAACGCCGCGUGAGUGAAGAAGGGUUUCGGCUCGUAAAGCUCUGUUGUUAAAGAAGAACGUGGGUAAGAGUAACUGUUUACCCAGUGACGGUAUUUAACCAGAAAGCCACGGCUAACUACGUGCCAGCAGCCGCGGUAAUACGUAGGUGGCAAGCGUUAUCCGGAUUUAUUGGGCGUAAAGCGAGCGCAGGCGGUCUUUUAAGUCUAAUGUGAAAGCCUUUCGGCUCAACCGAAGAAGUGCAUUGGAAACUGGGAGACUUGAGUGCAGAAGAGGACAGUGGAACUCCAUGUGUAGCGGUGAAAUGCGUAGAUAUAUGGAAGAACACCAGUGGCGAAGGCGGCUGUCUGGUCUGCAACUGACGCUGAGGCUCGAAAGCAUGGGUAGCGAACAGGAUUAGAUACCCUGGUAGUCCAUGCCGUAAACGAUGAUUACUAAGUGUUGGAGGGUUUCCGCCCUUCAGUGCUGCAGCUAACGCAUUAAGUAAUCCGCCUGGGGAGUACGACCGCAAGGUUGAAACUCAAAAGAAUUGACGGGGGCCCGCACAAGCGGUGGAGCAUGUGGUUUAAUUCGAAGCUACGCGAAGAACCUUACCAGGUCUUGACAUCUUCUGACAGUCUAAGAGAUUAGAGGUUCCCUUCGGGGACAGAAUGACAGGUGGUGCAUGGUUGUCGUCAGCUCGUGUCGUGAGAUGUUGGGUUAAGUCCCGCAACGAGCGCAACCCUUAUUACUAGUUGCCAGCAUUAAGUUGGGCACUCUAGUGAGACUGCCGGUGACAAACCGGAGGAAGGUGGGGACGACGUCAAAUCAUCAUGCCCCUUAUGACCUGGGCUACACACGUGCUACAAUGGAUGGUACAACGAGUCGCGAAACCGCGAGGUUAAGCUAAUCUCUUAAAACCAUUCUCAGUUCGGACUGUAGGCUGCAACUCGCCUACACGAAGUCGGAAUCGCUAGUAAUCGCGGAUCAGCAUGCCGCGGUGAAUACGUUCCCGGGCCUUGUACACACCGCCCGUCACACCAUGAGAGUUUGUAACACCCAAAGCCGGUGGGGUAACCUUUUAGGAGCUAGCCGUCUAC
rnacentral:rRNA from 1 species